GCCUUUAAUCUCAGCAACUCGAAGUGGGACUCCUGUGAAUUCAAGGCCAGCCUAGUCUAGGGAGUUCUAGGCCAUCCAGGGAUACAGAGUAAGACCAGUAAGACGGGGUGUGCGUGUGUGUGUGUGCAUGCAUGCGUGUGCGUGUGUGGUGUGCGUGUGUGUGCACGUGUGUGUGCGUGCAUGUAUGUGCGUGCAUGCAUGUGAGUGUGUCUAUGUGUAUGUGUGUAUCCGUGUGUGCGCGUGUGUGUGCAUGUGUGUGCACGCGCGCGCGUGUGUGUGUGUGUGUGUGUGCGCGCGCGCGUGUGAUCCCCAUUUCCAUCAUUAUCAUUAGUAAUCAAUAACAUCAUCAUUACCACCACCAUUAUCUCCAUCACAAUGCACUGACGAUUUAACAUAGUUAGGUACCAGGCUUUUUACAUUCUACUGUAUCCUCUCCACAAACGUGGGUGCUGAAGAAUGCCAUUCCCACGACAUUUCAGAGGAAACUGGAGAGUUUUGCUGGAUCAGGUUCGUUCUUGAUGAGCAUUUCUCUUGAGGAAUUCCGGGACAGAGUCAGUUGCCUUAACAUUCCAGCCAAGAGCUGUUCAUUGACUUUUAAAAAGCAGAGUGAAAAACAAAAUAGAGAAAAGAGAAAAGGAAGGAAGAAGGUCUGAAUCAGGUAAAUGGAAUCAGGUAGUCCUCCUUCAGGACAUGCAGGAGGGAGAAAGUAGGACCGUGGCAUGAUAGGACCUUAAGUAUAAAAGGAGAUGGAGAUGGAGAGAUGGUUCAGUGGUUAAGAGCACUGACUGCUCCUCUCAGAGGUCCUGAGUUCAAAUCCCAGCAACCACAUGGUGGCUCACAACCAUCUGUAAUGGGAUCUGAUGCCCUCUUCUGGUGUGUCUGAAGACAGCAAUAAAUCUUUUUUUUUCUUUUUUCUUUUUUUUCCGGAGCUGGGGACCGAACCCAGGGCCUUGUGCUUGCUAGGCAAGCGCUCUACCACUGAGCUAAAUCCCCAACCGGGCAAUAAAUCUUAUAAAUUUAAAUACAUCUUUAAAUAAAAGGAGAUGGAUCCCAGUUGGCUGUAUUGCAAAAGAUGUGUCUGAGCUCUUCUUACAGGAAAGGGUAGGCCCAACUUUGGAAAGGUCAUACGUGUACAUGUCUGUUGCAAUGGGCCAUCAUCAAUAUAAUAUGUUAAUUUUGUGUGUGAGAGAGAGGAGGGAGGAUAUGUCAUUUGGGUGUGAAGAGUAAAUAUUAACUCUGGAAAGUUCUGUCAAAUCCAGCAUCCCAAGCGCCCAGGAGGCAGCUCCUGGAGAGAUGUAGGGAAGCAAGGGCAGUGAGGGACACUUCCUGCCGGAAGUCAUGUUCAUUUUGACUUGAGGUAGAUGAACCCCAGAGAUAUGUGCUCUGAGGUGGGAGGGGCGCACGUGCGCAUGCGCUCUGUGGAUGUGAAGGCAGCGCGAACAGGGGACAGAGAGGCUGGGAUCAGGGAUUCCCCUGCCAAGAGACAGACAACCUGUGCAAGAGAAACGAGAACAUGGAGGAGAUUCUCUCCAUGAGGCACCACCAGGCCCUUCCUAAAGAACUAGGUUGAUCUGGAACGUUGGAUGCUUGGCUCAUGGUGGGAGGGAGGAAAGGAAUUACCUGAGGAAUCUAGAUCAGGAAAAAUCCACCCUGAGCCCCCUCCUGUCCUUCCCCUGACGUAGAAAGCCAUGGUUUUAAAAAAGAAAAGAGGCGGGGUGGGGCGGACCAAACCGUAGUCUCAGAGGAAUGGGCUGCUCAGACUCUCUGCCUUCUAUGCUGAGCCCCUGAGCAGCAUCUGAUGAAGCUGCCUCGCUACAAGUCAGAGCCUCGUGGUAACUAACCAUGACUCAGAGCGACUGCAAAAGAAUUCACCAAAUGAGAGUUUGCUGGGUGCGCAUUUAGAAAUCGGAUUCCCCCGCCCCUUCCCCAUUAUGUUGAUUAUAUCUUUCAUCCCCAAGACUGGGGCCAAGAUCCUCGCCCCUCCUCCCCUCCCUCUGUAAUCCUCACCCCUCAUUUCUCUCUCCUCUCCAUCCCCAGCAUCCCACCACCCCUAAGGCAGUGGCAGGAUUCCAAGGAGUUCAUUAAAGCCAGCCACCUCCCCGUUGCCCACCGGGCAUUCCCAGCAGCCCCCGGGGCCAUGGCGGUCCAAGAGCAAGACAGCCCCUUGGAAGGGCGUGGUCCGCUCUGAGGAUAGGGAACCCCCCCCCCCUUUGCACGAAUGAGAGGAGCCAGCAAACAGUUAAUGGUUUAAUCCUUUACAGAAAAAGUCACGGCAGACUCGCGAUUCUUGAUGGUAAUGAAGGUGUCACACAUUGUCUAGAGAAAGUUGUGCCUGGCAAUCUUCCCUUUUUCGGAUGCCUACCCCAGUGACAUUUCAUCUCACAUCCACCUUAAUGAAAUGCAUAAUUAACAUAUUCUAAUUGUGCUGAGCGCUGCGAUGAUUUUGACAGAACUCACUUUCCAUGUCUAAUUUGAUGCUAAUUUAAUCUGUUCCUCUCCCGCUGACAUGACCUUUCUUGAUUGAGUUUCACUGAGGAAAUUUUUUGAUGGAUUGAUUUAUCAGCAGUGCGGAGACAACAAAGGCUCAGGGUGCGUGACAGAAAAUAGGAAGGGACCGGCCCUCGAAGCCAGUGCGCUUUGAACUUGCUGGCUGGAAUGCCCUCUUCCCAGAGACAGCUUGUCUGAUCUACUGAUGGAAUUUGAGCAAUGUGACAUCCGUGGGUGGGUUUGAUCUUCCGAUAAAGACAGUAAAUAUCUUAUUGUGGCUGUAGCGGGUUUGCACGGAAAGCCUCUAUGGCAACCCGAAGGAAGCCCAGGCACCACGGCCGCUGAUUCUUCUGUGAAUUCAUCUCUUCCGGCCUCGAUUCCUGGUUAGAAUGCAGGGUCUGGUAGAUUCAACCCACAGAGGAGGAGGGAGAGUGGGAAGACAGCGUCCAUCUUAAAUUAUCAUGAGAAAAGGCGCUUCCACUAGGGCAUAGGGCACAGAUACUCUGCUUUUGCUAAAACCUGCCCUUGGAUAAGAAUUGUAGGUUUUCCUGCAGAAUUUCCCACACCCUAGUACACCCAAUUCCAGGUCUGAGUCAUGUAAGUCAGGACACUGAGUGUGGUGGAUGUUCUCAACUCUCAUGGUCAACUGGCUGAACCUUUGUCUUUCUCAGGGCGCAGACAGAGAGGUCAAAGCCACACCCCCAGUUCCAGAUGUCUCACAGAGAACAACCCCUGAGCCUGCAUGCUGUAUAAAACUGGCUGGGGUUCUCUUUCAGCAGAUUUAAAGCCUUGGAUCUGCACGGUUAGGUCAGGGUGUCUCAGCCCAGUUCACUGAGGUCAUUUCAGGCCAGGGAAUUCUUUGUUGGAAAAUGGAGGAAUACCGGCUCUACCCAGCUCCUACCCACUAGAAGCUGGUGGUAAGCUCCCUUCUAGAUCAUGCCAACUAGAACUAUCUACAAAUUCUAUAUAUAUCUCCCUAGUGUGAAAGAACCCCCUGACUGAAUACCCCUGACAUCAUAAUGUUACAUGUGACAUCAUAAUGUCACAGCCCCAGCUGGACUCCCUGCCUCUCCAUCUUCUCAAUGUCCUGUGUCCCGCCACGGCCAGUCAGGUAGCAACGAAUCCUACCCAAGUGCUUCCCCAGCUCCUCUUCUGUCAGAGCACAGAUGAAUACACUGUAUGAGAUAUUGAUUUCUCUCUGGCCGGUCUUCAGUCAUUAACCUAUGUGCCCCAUAAGAUUAGGACCUUGUCAGAUCUUUUGAUCUUUCUGUUUUGUUUUGUUUAAUUGGGGUAGAAUGUGUAUGAUACAGAAUUGGUCUUUUGGGUUGUAUUUUUAAGAGAGGGAGAGAGGGAAUGUGAGCGCCUUCGGAGACCAGAAGAAAGUGUUGGCCCUCCUGCAUCUGGAGUUACAAGCAGUGGCAGAUGAGCUCAGGGUGCCCAGAGUAACAGACAUUUUUCUUCAAAGCGGUCUCCCCCGGGAAGAUGAAAUAUUCAUUCCAGCGGUUGCUGCUGCUGCAAAGGCUUUCUGCAGAGCGUCUUCGGGAGCUGCCUUACGAGCCCCACAAGGCUCGAGAGCUAACGAGCUCAUAAUCAUCAUAACCACACUCGAUCAUACAUCAAAAGCAGUUUAACUCAGCGGAGUGACCUGGCCUACUUCCACAGCCUCUAUGUUAGCUGGCAUCUGGCUUUGUUCGUGGGCUAAGUUGCUCUGUGACUCCGAGCUGGGCUAAGUACCUGGAUGUACCAACACAGAAGGGAGCAAACUGGGGGACGUCUGGGCCAGCCUCCUUGGGUUUGAGUUCUAACUCGCCACUAACUGUAAGACUGUGCUUCAAUUUCCCACUCAAGAACACUCAAGAGUUCUCUCGGGGGCUACACUAGUUAAUACCUGCAUGCAACAGGCAAUGCCUGGGGCCACGCUGAGGCCCUCGUGGUGUGAGUUCUUCUUAUAAGAGAUGUGAAUGAGUCAGUUUAGUAUCACCUGGCUUUCAAAGAUCUGAAAGAGGGAUACUCAAAAAAUAAUUUCUGUUAAGGAAUCAGUUUGUUAAGGACUGGAGAUAUGGUUGCUUCUGAGGUUAAGCACACUCACUGUGCUUCCAGAGGACCAGAGUUCAGUUCCUGGCACCCCUAUCAGGCACCACACAACCACUUGUAGAUCUAAGGGGUCUGCUGCCCUCUGCUGGCCACCAGAGAUAGCUGCACAUGUGCACACACAGAGACACAUACAUAGAAAACUGAGUGGAGUUUCUUGACUCUUCCUUGAAUUCUGUCAUCCUGUUCUGUCACUUACUAAUGACACAGAGUCUCCUGCCUUCCUAUGGCAUGGGGUCUUGGGAUGACACUGGGCCAUCUGGAGAACCUGAAUCAUCUUGUUUUCUCCUAAUCUACAGUGGCUUGGGUAGAGACCCUCUGUCAUUCAUAGGCUGCGGGAUUAGAAAGUGGGCAUCUCGGAGACCCUUUCCAGGCUGUCACAAAUGACUUCCCUUAGGUGCAGGGUGGUGUUUGUCAGUGGGGUUCUUUCCCAUGUCUCCAUGACAGUGUUCAUUUGAAGAAAGAACAUGGUUUGGAGGCACACCCAGAAUUUAAAUUUGGACGGACCUCAGAAUGGUACCAUCUCUCGCAGUUGUCCGCCUCAGUGGUUUUGUAAGGAAAAGCACAUUCGGCCAAGAAUCCCUGGCUAGCCUCGGACAAAUGCCAUGUCAGAGACUCUCUCUGCUUAGCUGUGUGGACACAGCAUUGCAUGCUACAUAUAAAUACCAUGUUGCAUUGUGUCCAAGGCCCACCCAAAUAGUCACUGCCAAGUCAAAAUGUUACUGUUCCUGUUCCAUUUCUGCAGCACCUAGAACUGUCUGGCACUCCUUACAGACAAGGCAUAAAUAAUACACAUUGUAUAUGCUAACACGGCUCUGAGUGCUGAAAAUGGUGAUCCUUUUCCACAAAAAGGAAAUACAUCUGGUGGGUUCUGCUAACAUUCCACAAGGGAAAUCCUGCCUUUGUUGGAAUGCUCUGUAACCUAUGGCCAUGAUGAUAUUCCCUGGUGUAUGAAACAGACACUAGGAAACCAGUCUGACUCAAGGUGAUGCUCCCUGACCAAAUCUUUUUCUUUAGAACUGUUCUCUUCUUCAACUUCUAUUUUUAUGUAUAUAUUGUAUCUGUGCAUGCGUGCCUGCACAACCUGUUAACACAACCUGUUAAAAGUUAGCCCUCUCCUUCCAACAUGUGGGUCCCAGGGAUUGAACUCAAGUCACCAGGUUUGGCAGCAAGCCUGGUCACCCUCUGAGCUCAUCUCUCUGGCCCUGGAAUAGUUGAGUUUUGAUAAGCCAGGAUCCAAGGAUCCCAGCUGUUGUAGAAUGACUUUCUCAGAGGCUCCAGCCAUAAUUUUUGGCCUCUGAAUGUCUCUGGGUGUGAUUUUGUUUUCAUUUGUCAGUCUAAAAUAAAAAUGUAACAUUUCAAUUACAACCCAGAGAGAGAAGCAAAGAACGGGCGAUUUACAUUUGAUUUGGACAAGAACAAUUUUGUCAACUUCUAAUCUGCCAAUACUCAAUUUUUUUAAAUAAAAGCAAACUGCUCAUUAA